GACAAUGCUAUUGAAUUUUCAGCAUGCAUGUUUUGCUUUUAUUUUGUACAAUCAUUAUUCCUGCUGCAGUGUUUCAAGCAAACAAUGCUUUCCUUUGAAGUGCUCAUAUUGCGGUGAGCUUACGAGGAUCACUGACAAAAGGUGUUUUUUUUUUGGUAAUUGAAUUCAAAGCAGCAGGUGCAUCUCUAUUCUAAAUGUUUCUGAGGCAGGCUUUCACAUCUCAGACAAAGCGUGAAUGCCCAUACAAAUAUGACAGCAAGAAGACGUGUCUUUUUGUAAAAUGAUUACGCUUCUUGUUAAGUAUUCCCAAAAGUCAAGCGUUCACCUUCACCAACAAGCCUGUUAAUGUAUUUUAUGUUAUGAUUUGCAAUUAUUUUUAUAUUUUCUUUUUUUGGGGGGGCGGGGGCUUCAUGCUGCACAGAUGGCGAGGGGCCAUCCCGUGAGGAAAAAUGCUGGGCGCGAUCGAUGGAUAGCCUCACACAACUCCCCCUGGUGGCAGUUUCAGUGUAUCAUUUACAUUUUUUGACACUCCACUCUGGAGCUAUUUGCGGUUAUGAACCGUCGGGGAUUCGGCGUCCUGCUCAAGGACAUCCAUGCUGGAUUGAAAGCACCUCCAAACCUCACUUUCGACGUGCAAACCAAAGCGAUAAAUUCAGGGUCACAAAAUGUAGUCAGUUAUAGACCCAUAAAGUCCAUACAUUUGUUUUAUUUGAUGGCUCCUCCUCAAGGGACAUUAUGUUCACAGGUCUCUAAAUGGGGUCCAUGCACAGACUGUCAUUGAAGGACGCUCGGAUGGCGAUGGAUGCACACAUAUCAAAAAGGGAGUUGAGGUUUACUUCAAUGGCAAUAAGGUGGAAGGGUUGUACAGACUAGUCAACUUAACUGCGCCACAAUGACGUUUAGAGCGUAACAUUGAUUAGUUGCUACUCACGUGUUUUCGGCUUGAGGAGGAGGUAAAGCCGCUUACAACAGCAGAUGAGAGGGCUGAAUGUCCGUCACCUUCAUUGAUUUCCAUUGUCUUCUAUUUCUGAAUGUGCAGCUUUGGUAAGUGAGGAAAACCAGUCGGGUCACUGCCAGGAUCAGACUACGAGACAAAAUGAGUCUCUCCCAGUGGUAAUGCCAGAAUACUGCCAUCAAAUCCUGCCGUGUCUUGGUUAGAACACUGGCAACACUACAUGUGAAAUCGUGUCAAUGCUACCAGAUAUAAUCGUGCCCAUAACAGCAGCAAAAGGUCAGGGAGGAAGCGGCGCUAGUCUUGAUUGCGGCAAUGUUUUAGUUGGGGGGGAGAACAAAAAGAAAAAAAAAAAUGUGUCGUGUCUUCUCUGGGUGCUCCACAGAUGACCGUUUGGAUUGUCCAUUCAAGGAGAGCGUGAGGUAAUGUUCACAUACUUUUAAUACCGCUAGCAAGCAGGCAACAUAACGUUAUGUAGCUAUAUAGCUAGAUAGCUAGUGCUAGCACUAACAUUUGAACGUAAACAUUAAGCCGGCCUUCUGUCGAUUCAUGCCUCUUUCUCGUCGCCAUGGUGUGCGUGAAUAAAUCUCGACCAAUGGAGGCGAGGCGCCGUUGCAAGAUGAAAUCCAAAUAGUUGACAUCAAAGUGCUAUGAAGGACGGUUCUCGUUGCUAUGUCACAUUACAUGGAAGACAUUCCCCAAAAAUCAAACAUGCUGGACUUUUCAUUUUGGGACCGCAGGGCUUCGGCGACGCCAAAUCGUUGACCGUGGUUUAUGUAACACUAUAAGGAGUUUUGUCGUUCCCCCAAAAAUACGUCAGGCCCGAUCGGGACAAAUCGUGCCAAUAACAGGUCUAUAAAUCUCGUAGUCUGAUCGAGGCAUAAAGGGGGAAAAGCCAGUGUCAAACAGUAUUUUGAACAACUUCUCGGCUCAGAAUAUCAACGUGGAAAAAGAGCAAGGAAUUAUUUCACCGCACACAAACAGGUCCGUGUUUAUUUGUAAACACCGCAAAUGCUCACCAUGCAGAACCCGCUGCUGUGGUAGGCCCAGACCAGGAAGGUUUUCCCCGUAUGGGCAAGGUGUGUAAACGUUCCUUGGCUGUCCCAGUGGCAAGCACGCCAAGCAGAACAAGUUUUUUUCUGUGGCUGGAAAUACCAUGGCGGCCGACUGGUUAGCACAUCUGCCUCACAGUUCUGAGGACCGGGGUUCUAAUCCCGGCCCCCUGUGUGGAGUUUGCAUGUUCUCCCCGUGCGGGUUUUCUCCAGGGACUCCGGUUUCCUCCCACAUCCCAGAAACAUGCGUGAUAGGUUGAUUGAAGACUCAAAAUUGCCCUUAGGUGUAAAUUUGUGCGCGAAUGGUUGUUUGUUUAUAUGUGCCCUGCGAUUGGCUGGCAACCAGUUCAGGGUGUACCCCGCUUCUCGCCUGAAGAUGGCUGGGAUGGGCUCCAGCACGCCCGCGACCCUAAUGAGGAUGAAGCGGUACGAAAAAUGGAUGGAUGGAAAUACCAUCAAGUAACAGCGAGCGAACUAACCCACGUUCAUGUGUGUGUUAUAGCACAAGUACUGUGAAAUUUCAAUGUUUGAGUUGUCCGUUGUCUGUCAUUUUAUUAUUAAUUUGUAUAUGUUGUGAGUCAUUUUUGGUUCCUCUUUUAUUUUGACGACAUUGCUGCUCUGUUUCCUGUGUUGCCUCUGUCCUUUUGUUUCAGGGCUGGGCGUGGCCAGGUGUGCUGAGCUCCUCUCACAACUGUCUGCAUUUAACCAGUCUGACUUCCACUCCUCGCCAGAACGUCCUCGUUACCUGCAGAGUAUUGGUCAGCUUUGCCUGCCAUUCUCCGUUGCUCGAAUUGCUUGCUUCAAGUUUUAUUACCUCCCUUGUUUGAACUUUUGGUCUGGCUUCUAGUGAUUUCCAGUUCAUUCAUCAUUGAGGAUUCCCCCACCCCACCAUCUUUUUUUCCAGUGACUUUUGUUUCGACUGAUUGCUUUUCGUUCUUUUUCAGCCCCGCCGUGAAGAGAGCUCCUUUAACGUUACAGUAUAGCCAGACAAAGACACUGACUGUGAUAAAACUUCUCCAGAAGCACUGCAUCAGCUGACAUUUUCCCAAUGAUUCGCCUCACUGCUCAUCAGCUGCACGUCAUCAUCUGCCUCAGUCAAUUAAAUACAACAUAAAAAAUAA